CGCACCCCUCCUUUCCCCGGAAUGGUGUCCCAAGAGGCCUCCUUAUCACAAUCUAACGCCAGCAGGCUGCUGCCAACCAGGAACACCUGGUGCACAGCCUGACUGUAGCAUUCUCCAGCUGUGUGGCCUCAGCCCAGUCUCUUCCCCUCUCUGACUGUGUUUCCCCCUCAGUAACAGAAGCUACCAAUAGUGGUUGUCGGGAUGUUGAGAUGAUUCACAGAAAAACUGUGGGUGUGGGCAGAGUCUGCUCUGCCUAGUGCCCAGGGAAGCACUGAGGAGGCGUUUGGGGACAGCUAACUAUGUCAUGUGCCCGUCAAGGCAGCCAUCAGGCCAGGUGGUGCUGACUGACUCAUGGGGGUGGAGAAAAUGGAACCAGCUAAAAAUACUGAAAUUCUGGCUUCAAUUAGGAACCCCAACCUGAGUCUCACCUAAGUCAGAAACAGGACUAGGUGACAUCUUCCAGCCCAAAGAGGUCCCUAGAACCAGUCACGUGCUAUUUUCUCCAUUUCAGAGAUGAGGAAACUGAGAUUCAACAGGAGGUCAUCUGCCAAGGUCACAGUGGAUUUUCUAACUCAGGUCUAUCUGGCUCUGUUUCCAACCCUGAGCCCAUGCUAUCUCCUACAAGAUAUCCCUUGAUCCUAUGUACCACCAUAGAGAUGUCCUGGGCUGAGACUCCCCAAUUCAAACCUCUCAUCAGGCCCAACCCAGAGCACAGCUAUGUCACUGCAGCAGCUAGAGAGGAACCUGUGGACUCCUGGGCUUACUCACCAUGGCGCUCACCACCCGGCCCACGUAGACAGGUCUGCUGCGGCGCGAGCAGUCUUGGCCAGCAUUCUUCAGGAACUUGGGGUUGGUGUCCAAGAGCAUCAGGCAAAUAUCCAGGAUCCCAUCUUCAAACUGUCAGAAGGAGCGGACAGUGAAGAUCCCCAGCCACUGCAGCCCCCACCCCACCUGCUCCCUCUCACACAGCAGCCUGGGAGGGAGUGCAGGGGACGUAAGUGUGUGAGCAGUGGUCCGGGGGGCACCUGCACUCUGGGUCUGUCUGGGGACCUGGGUGUUGGCACAGAGCACGCAGAGUGGGGAACGAAGCUCCUCAGGGCCCCCGGGCCUGCCUCUGGCCGCUCUCUCUCUGCACAGCCAAGUCUCGGCCACUCCUGCCGAGGGCCUGACUCACCCAGCACAGCCCCCGCCCAGCCCCCACUCCGCUGAUCCGAGCGGAGGCAGAUGGCAUUUCAAACACACCCAGGGUGAAAUCUUGACUCCCGAUCCGUGCUCACCCUCUUUGACCUCAUCUCUCUCUACUUUCACCCACACUCAUUCCGUCCCAGCUCACUGCUUUGGGGCCUUUGUACUAGCUGCUUUGUAUGCUUGGAAUGAAUGCCCUUCCUGCUGCUGUCUGUACGCCUCGUGUUGCAGGUGAAGCUAUAUGUAUCAAAGACAGGACUCCGGCUUUGCCACCUUCCAUGCCCUGCCCAUCUGACACCCAUCAGAGGCCACCACUUUGCUGACCCUCAGAUUGGCUAAGGAGCUGCUGGGCAGAUCCACUUGUGAUGAUGUUCAGAUGAGGAAACUGCAGGCAGCGUGAGCACACAGGAUGACUUUUCUAUGUCCACGGGACGACUCUCUAAGCCUGACCAUUGGACCCUGGCCCAUAGGCUUUGGAAACCUCAAGGUGAACCCUACUCUGGUGACCAACACUCCCAGACACUGCAAGAAAUUGAGGGACUGGGUGGGUGGGGUCACUGCUUCAUGCCUGUCCUCUGCAGACUCUCCUGGUGUUUUCCAGGAGGCUGGAUAAUUGAGGAAAUCAGUGUUGGUUUAGAGAACCAGUCUGGGCACUGGCUGGAGAACAGGAAACCAUGGAACAGCAAUGAGCUGCCCAGCACAACCCCAUCCACGGCUAACCACCCGAGACCUGGAUUGCCCAGAGUGUUGUAAGACCUAAGAAGUAGAUAUAGCUCAGAGAUGUAAGUGCCUGUCUGGCAAGCACAAAGUCCUGAGCUCAAUUCCCAGUGCUGUCCCCCAUGCAAGACAUAAGAAGUGCUUGUUAGCCAGGUAUUGCAGUAUACAACUGUAAUCCCAGUACCACAGGGAGGCUGAGCAGAAGGAUUACAAAUUUGAGCCCAGCCUAGGCUACUUAACAAGACCAUGACUCAAAAAACAAGCUAAAAAGAGAGAGAGAGAGAGAGAGAGAAUAAAGGAAAGGAAAGGAAGAGAAAGGGGAAAAUGGUAGUUGUUUUAGUCUCUGUUUCAGGUUUGCUUGUUACUGAACAUCUAGGGUCAGGGAGUCUAGCUGCUACAAACACAUCAGAAAAUGGUUCUCAAGAUGGCUUGCCAGACAGCACUGGCAUCCCCAGGGGCCCUGUCAGAGAUGCCCUGAAUCAGACACCAAGAAUGGGGCUCAGCAACCUAGGCUUUGACUCGUUUUCUGGUGGCUCUGAUGCACACACCAGUUUGAGGACCACUGCUCUGGACAGUGGUAUAAGACCCCUCCUCACACACACCUAGCAUAGCCUCAGUGACCUCCAGGUACUGAGUGUUAUGCUGAUAUAUAACCUAAUUGCUCCUCUUUAGAGAAUACUAACCAACUUCACGGCUCAUAGAGAGUCUCUUAAUUCUUUCCCCACCUUGAAUCCAGGGCCAGUGCUUCUGCUGUGUGACUUCAGGCCAGCCUUGACCCUGACUGACACUUCAGCCAUUUCAGGGCCCUUGACCCCAGACAGGCUGGGGUGGGAGAUUUUUUGACCUACAGAGUGGCAUCUCAGGAUGCUUCAUUUUUUAAACAGUGCUUCAGGUAGGAGGACUGAGGUGGUCACUGGGGGCAGAUGGGAUCCUACCUGCCCGAAGUUCCAAGGUAUGCCAUUGAUGAACUUGGCCGAGCCCUGGUAGAUGAAGCCCUGUUGGGUGAGCACAUACUCCUGCCGCUCUUGGUCUGAGUCCAUAUAGACAGCAUCCGCUACGGGCAGAAGAGGGUAUGGGAUUAGCUCUGGACUUAGCGAGGCCUGGGCUCCUUGCAAAGAUGGCAGCUGGGGUGCCAACUCCCCAGGCCAUGUCAGCAUCUCAGAGGCCCUUCAACCUUGGAAUCAGAAAAAGCAAUCAUUAAUUAUUAACUCAUGCUAAGGAGAUAAGAUGUUAUCAGUCAGUGACAUCCGAGGCUGCCAUUUAUCCCACAGUUGGUGUCAGGACUUGUAAUAAAUGGAUGGUGUAUAAUUUAUUUAUUCUCCCCAAGAGGCCCACAAGGAAGAGGCUUUUGAAAACCUCUUUUUAAAGAUGGGAAAACUAAGGCUCAAGAAGAUUUCACAGCUAGGACAACUGACGCUAAAACAAGAGAUCGAGGAGUAUCAAACCAGGAGUCAAGAAAUCCUUCACUGUGACUUCACUAGGUGUGUGACCCUAUGCAGGUCAUUUCACCUCUCCGCCCACCUCUGCACAUUGCUGAAUGAGCCUGAGAAGUAUCACAUGGCUUGGGGAGGCAGGUUCUACCCAGCCUGGGGGCAAGGAGGACCCCCUGGAGGAAGGGGCACCUGAACACUGCUCUGAGAUUUACCUGGGCCUGGCAGGUGACAUUCCGGGCAGCAGACCAGAGGGGUCACACUUUGGCCGCUGGAAAAUGCGCUGGGGCCAACGAAGGAGAAAAGCGGGUAGAGGAAAGUGAGGCAGAAGCCUGCAAGUCAGGUUGGUUUUGUGAUGUUCACUUCACAGAUGGGGAAACUGAGGCUGGGACAGGGAAAUCUAGAGCCACGAGGGACUUCAGUGGGCCCUGGGCAUCUCUCCUUCAUGGAUUGUCUCCAUCAUAAAAUAAAUAUUAAUAUCACAUCAUGAAACAUAUAAUUUAA